rnacentral:rRNA from 1 species
UUUUAUUAUUAGUAUAGAAUACAAUUGGGGACUACAAGCAAUUGCUUAAAAACCCAAGAAUUUGGCGGUGUCUUAUUCUAUCAGGGGAUUCUGUCUCGUAAUCGACAACCCACGAAGAAAGUUACCUACUCUAGAUAAUUUCAGCUUGUGUACUGCCGUCUAUAUAGGCCCUUAAAGUUACCUAUAAUUAUAUAAAAGAAAUAUUACGACAGGUCAAAGUGCAGCUAAUGGGUAGGGGAAGAUGGAUUACAAUCUAUAACAUAGCUUAAUUUUAUAUUAACAUAUAGAUUAAAAAGAAUUUGAUAGUAAUGAAAUUUAUAAUAAUAUCAUGAAUAANAACUUAAGACAAGC